rnacentral:rRNA from 1 species
UACAGAGGUCCCAAGCGUUGUUCGGAUUCACUGGGCGUAAAGGGUGCGUAGGCGGUUGGGUAAGUCUGAUGUGAAAUCUCACAGCUUAACUGUGAAACUGCAUUGGAUACUAUUCGGCUAGAGAGUUGGAGGGGGGACUGGAAUUCUUGGUGUAGCAGUGAAAUGCGUAGAUAUCAAGUGGAACACCAGUGGCGAAGGCGAGUCUCUGGACAUUUCCUGACGCUGAGGCACGAAAGCCAGGGGAGCAAACGGG